rnacentral:sRNA from 1 species
CCCACUGAGUUGGAAGCAAUGAGGGAUUC